GAUAAAUUGGAGCUUGAUGACAGAUUAUGUGUUUCUGUUUGCAACGCAGAGGAGGAAGAAAGUGAGAUUUCACCUAAUCAGUUUGCUUGAGGCUCCUGUACAAAGCUGCCAAGUGCGUCUAUCCAUUAAUAAAAGAGAAACAUCACACUGAAGGCUACCCUCAGAAACCCACAAGUUAAUUUGUCAGUAGAAAAACAGUCAUUUGUGAGAGUGCUGCAGCUGGGUCUGUUUCUCAGUCCAGAAACCCCAGAUUUCAGAAAAUAACUCAGAUUGGCUUCAUCUGUAAUUAUCUUUCAGCUCACACAUCAAAACUUUUUUUUUUUUCCUGGGCAAACAUGCAAUUUAUAGGCUCUUUUUCUUUUUUGAUGAUCCCUUCCAGGCAUGUUUUAACAUCUGAACAUGAAUUUGCUGUGAAUGAUUAUUUGUCUGAUACAUUUUUCCAUAAAAUAAAUUAACAAAGCAGCUACUUAAAGCUCUUAAAUGACUUCUGAGUCAUUAAAAAAUUAAAUUCAGUGAAACAAAUACUUUAUAUUUCAAAGUUUAACUACUGAACACAAGACAUCUGCUACAAUACUGAAGUCAGUUUUGGUUGUUUUUGCAAUGUCAUGCUCAUACAUUGCUUUGGAUUUGUGUCAGGAGACUGGCUAAAGGAAUUUGGAUGGUGAUGUUUUCCCAGACUGAGACUAACUGCAUGUAUUCACCCUCUGUAUCUCAUCAAAUGCACUAUCACACACAGCAAACACAGCUGGAGAGAUACUGAUCACAGCGAAAAACAUUCUGUCUCCACUAGAUGAACUGCUAUUCAUGAGCAUUUCCUGAAAUGAUUUGUUGAUUCCAGAUGACAGAAACUAUUGUUUCUGAGCAGAUUUACAGCAAACAGGCUUGGUUUAUUGUUGUGUUUCUUAAUAUAAUAAUAAUAAUUGUGAGAAAAAAAGAUUUUUUGGUAUUUCUAUUCAUGUAAAAAAAAGUGAAAUUACUACUUCUUCUUUGGCUUAAAAAAUCUUCGGCUUUCAGAUUGUUAAUUGGAUAAAACCUGAGAUGAGAAUUUUUUUACUAGCUUUGACAGUUUGUAGACGAAACAAUUAAUCUAUAGGGGAAAUAAUGUGCAAAUUACUUCAUAUAGAAAGGACUGUUUCACAGGUCAGCGUCCCAAAGUGUGCUGCUUAUGCCUCCUAGUGAAAGUGAAAGCUCUUAAUUUUCAUUUUGAGUAAUGUCACCUUGACAUCUGGCUGAAUAUAAGACCAAGGGUAACUUUCAGUAGAAAAAAAAUGACACUAUCACCUAUAUUCAAUUCAGUUCUACUUAUAAUGCACUUUAUUGUAUCAUAGAGACAAACCCAACAAAUCCCAUGAUUCCCUUUGAGUUAUUCAUUUCUAUUAAUUCACAAUCUGUCAUAGUAGAGAUAUUUCCGAGCUGUUUUCAUGGAACCUUGAUCGUUUUCUGUAAAGUUUCAUGGCAUUUCACAGCGGGGACUCCAGCAGGAGGGCAGGGAAAUUGCGUAAGUCGAGGGAGGCUGAGUGAAGGACUGGACUGGACCUUUCUCCAAACAGGAUGCUGCCUCAUUGUGCCUAGAAAGGAGAGGGAUAUCCUUGAGAAAAACACAGAUGAAGUCACUGUUCGGAUCUGACACAUGGAAGAGUGAGGCAGUGACUCCAGUGACGUGCAACCAACACUCAGCACGCAUAAUUGGCGUCUUACUCAUUUCCACACCCAGCGCUAAUGAGAGAUUUUCACAGAUGUUUUUUCAUCGAGAUACUUUGUUUCUUUCCUGGUGGUCUUUCUUUUCUUUCCUGAUUGUAGACUCUGUAAAUAGUCCUGUUCUCAACUGGAUUGCUCCUAUUUUUGGGCUCCUCUCAACCCACCUGCUAAUCUGAGGUCAGAGUUUCGACCACUUUAAGUGAUUUCCAGUUGGUGUCUGGAUGAGGUCCCCCCUGACUCAUCUCUCUCCUGCUUCCUAAAGCCCAUCCCGGUGAUAACCAGGUUCGAAGUGCUUGUGAUCCCUGUCGGCUCAGGGGCAGUUAACCCCCCGCAGGGAUGCUCAGUGUGCUGCCUCUGAUUAGUUAACACACAAAGACAUGACAGCAAGACUCUUGGCUCCGCCUUCUUUUUUUUCCCACAGUAGGGAGCUGCUCCAUCACUGCUUCCUGCCUCAGGCCACAAGCAAGCUUUUAGCACAAAGUGACCAGUCCAGACCCACCCUGUCGUCUUGCUGCCUGAGGGGGCAGAAGGGGUUUCUGCUCAUAGUCCAACAUGCUCAAGGUGAAUUUUCCUGUGACGUUAAUGCUCUUGCAGAAAGGAAGUCAGGCUUUUGUCAUGAUAGCCCUCUUUAGAUUUACUGCUGUUUGUGUGUUGUCUACUUCACUUGUCUGGCUGCUGGUGCUUUGUGACUGAUGAUAUGUUUGGAGUAAAUAAUCUUGAAGUGUCUGGCUGGCUGACUUUUUCUUUCUCAUGCGCUUCUACAGCUGCUUUAAGUGAAACCGGUUGAGUUCACACACUUUCUUAAACACAUCUCCUAAAAGCCUUUUAUCACACACACUGAAACCUGUUGUGUUUCUCUGCUCGUAAGGUUCCGAGUGGGCCAUAUGGUGCAUGAUCACACCUCAAAAUAAGAUUCUCACCUCAUGCAGCAUACGCAGCCACUCGGCAUAAUGUCAUUCCGCAAACACAAUAGAAACUAGUCACACCUCUCUAAGUGGCACAAUCAACUAAUACGCUCUGAGCUGACUGUAGAGUAGAGGUGUGCUUUAAAGUCAGCUAUUUUGUUAGCUGCUUUGUACACCAGACCCCUCCUCUGGUCUACAUUUUGACAUUUAAGGGUAUCUUCUUGUUUUCUUCCCACUUACAAACCUGUACAGAAAAUAUAAAGCACAUAACAAAGGCUGCAAAUUAGGAUGUAUGAGGCGUCGCUAUUAAAUCAUGAGACUAAAUGCUGUUAUUUAAAUUUAUUUCAAGUAGACCGAAACUCUUAGGGGUUGCCUAUUGAUUGCCCAUUGAUCGAUGUAAACUAUGUGGUUCCACUGACAAAUGCUAGGCUAAGCUAACUAGCUGCUGCAGCUACAUAACUAGCAACCAACAUCAGACAUAUCAAGAAAGCAAAUGGUCAAAAUUAGUUGUCACAGAAGAGUUGGCAUGUGGAAAGAACUGCGUUAGAGGUCUUUCCUGACAGUAAAGGUUAAGCUGAGGCCAUGUUGUUGCUCCUCCUGUGUGUUAAUGACAGGGAAGCUGGAAUGAAAGGAAAAAGUACAACAGCAAGUAAAAGAGAAAAACACAGGAACUAUAUAAACUCAAACGUAAUGUCCAGUGCUGUAGUUGCUGCCAGAAAUUUAUGGGAAUCCUACAAAUAGCCUUCCUUUGUCAAAGUCCAGCCACGCUGCCACUCUGUUUCAUGUGCAGCUGUACUGGGGAGCGACCUUUCUUUGAGCUCCUAAUAAGGGGAAAUGGGAAGAACAUAUGUAAUUGUUGGACAUGUUUCUUUUCCACUGCUCCCAUGUUGUCUGGUGUAUUUCUGUCUGCUACCUCCAGCUGCUCUGUCUAUCUGCAUGCUCGCUGUCUCUUCUUUUCUUCUUCUUAAUGCCUCACAGUCAAAGCAUGCAAGUUCAGAGCAAAAUCCCUAAACUCAAACCCAACCACAGGCACAACACAGAUUUGCUUGGCCAUUUCUUCUGCUUCUAAUUCAGUUGCAUGCAAACAGAUGCAAAUCUUUAAAACUGGCCUCCGACUGUAGUAAAAAGUGACAUUUACAUACAGUGUGCUUUAUGUUGUGGGUGUCUGUGGAAUGUGUAAAUUCUUUCACCAGAGCUGACCAUCUAAUGAUGUUCUGCUCUGAUCCAGGCCUCAUGCUUUUACAAGGAGAACACACUUGAAGUUUUUCUUUUGUGUUGAAGCCAGACAGACUUUAUGGAGAGCUCUGCUCAGUAACAUGCACUAGUUUAUUUCCUUGAUUUAAAGAAAGUUGCUGUUUUUAAAAAAUUAUUCCCAAGUACAUAUUUGACUUAGGAGAUGGAAAAAGCUUUGUUGGUUGAAGUUGCAGCUGUCAGUGGGGAUUUUGUGGUAUAAAUAAACACACAAAAGAGGCUGCCAUUCGGGACCAUUUUGAUUAGACAUAAACGGAGCAUAUGUGAAUGUCAAGUUGUGUCUAUAUGCAAACACAAACAUCCUCAUUUCCUAUGUAAACCUUCACCAGUUCUCACCCUGGAGCUGGCACUUUGCUCUGUUUGAGCUCCGUGCAGUUUCCAUUCUGCGGCUAAAUGAUUGUUUAGUCAUUUUCUGCUCAUUCGUGACUUUGUUUCAGCUCACUUGCAGCAGUGUUUAUUAAAAUCCACAAUGGGAUCAGUGAAACUGAAUCCUAUGAGCUAUGUGGAGCUGGCUUUUAGGUUGACCACUAAGCCUGCUAGUCCUGCAUGGAGAAUCAACUUUGUAUUUAUGAUUAAAGGAAGAUCACUCAGGCAGCGUUGUUGAAACCAAGUGUUCUCCCUCAUUAACCAGAAAGCUGCUGGUUCUCUGAUGUGACUUUCAACUGCUUGACUCACAUUCACUGGCAGACAGAACACAAUGACUUGUCUUUUGUUCUGUUUGUGAUGACUUUUAGUCCUUUGGGAGCUUUGAAGGAAUAGUUUGGACAUCAUGAGAAUAUCAGUAACAGUCUCCUAUCUGUACAUUAAAUUAUUAGUAGUUGAAUUUAAAAAAAAGACUUAUCUCUCCUCUUGCUAGAUUUAGAUGAGAAGAUUGAUUCACUCUCAGGCUGCAGCCAGAUGCCUGUUAUCUUAGCUUAAUGACUGGAAACAGAAUCAUUGCAUUUUCUCUGUCCGAUCAUCUCUUGGAGGAACACAGUUACUUGGAGUCUGCACUGGCUGCCGCUUUUAUUGUGACUACAUGACCUUGAUAAUACUUUGGACAGUAACUGUGUCAAGAUAUUGAGCCUGGGUUCACUUCCAAAAGGUCAAACACAGCAGUUUUCUCAUGCAAGCUGAAGUUUACCAUGUACAUGUGAUUAAUGUUGCUAAAGAGUGUGGUUUAACUAUACCACCAUCUGGUCUUUUUUGUAAUCGAGUAGUGUUGGUGUCUAAACCUGACCAAAUAGGGAGGGACCAAUAAGUGCAACAUAGACUUCAGUCUCUAAUACAGGGCUGCCAACUCUCACGCUUUGGCCAUGAGACACACGCAACUCAGUCCCUUUACAUGCUCUCACGUCACACUCCAAAUAUCACACAGGCAAAAAAAGUUACACUUUGCUGUUAUGGGAAUAUGUAACCUUUGAGGAAAUCCAGUUCACAUUUUUACUCCAGAGAGCGCCAGAUUUGUGAAAAUCCGGUCCGCAUUUUCCGUCCUACACGCUCAACAGUCAUUGUGCAGCUGUCAGGUUGGCUGUCGCUGAGUGAUGCACCAAAGCCUGUGUGUAGCGCUGCUCUGGCAGUGGCGGAUUUUCUGUGGGGGCAGGGGCUGGGCAGUGGUCCCCCCGUGAUCUGAUUGGGCACCCUGUGUGCCCCCCCAAAAUUUUCAUUGGAAAUUUACAUUACUUAUACUCCGAUUUCCAACACUCCUGAACACAACUUCGUUGUCCGACUGCAACUGAAUGCACCAGUGAAGUUAGUUUGAUCUUUUUAAUGGAAUUUGUUUGGAUUUGAAGAAGCUUUGAAGACGUUCGCUAAUGCUGGAGGAGAAGACGAGCAGCUUUGUACCUUUGCGGUAAGAAGACUAUGGCCGUUUCUCUGUGCGUGACUGUCCGUACUAACUCGUUAGCCACUAGCAAAACACUAACAUGAGCUACCAGCUUAACAACCAAAUACCAGACGAUUAAUAGUAGCUGUAGUAUAGCUGUACAAGCAGUAGUAGUAAUACUAAAAGUACAAGCAGCAGUACUAGUAUAAAUAGCUGUUAGAGUCGUAGAUUGGGUUGCCACCUUUCAGAAAUGAAAAUAAAGUACACCCACCACGGCCACAGCUCAGUAAAGUUGGAAAGAUAUUCACAGAUUCGGACUUCUGGCAUCAGUAACUCAUUAGAUUUAGGUUGUUAAAACAUAAACGAUGCCUCUUUCCCAACGUUGUAAGUUAGAAAAUAAGCUACAAGCCCAGUUUUAUCAAAAGUAGCUGUCUUUCAAGUUGCAGGAAUAACACUGGUGUCAACAGGAGCCAGUGUAAGGCUGCAGUGAUUUUGGUGACACUACAAUGUAUCAGAGUGAAGUUAUUGAAUAUUUGUGUCUCUUCACUGUUGCAGCGAUUUUGCAAUUUGCAGACAUUCCCCGUACACUCCAUAGACACCAGUGUUAUUUCUGCAGCUUGUAGCUGCAGCUGUAGAUGACCUCUCCAAUCAUGUCCAGCUUUCUUUCCACACACCUUUUCAGACCUUCUCGGAGGAGGACGAGGUCUGUGUCAGUGGUUUACCACUCCUUUUUCUGGCAGGAUUUAGGCCACAGAAGAUUGAGGGCUUUUGCCCGUUCAUCUUCCACUGCUGUCUGUGGCUGGAUGGGCUCAGGCCUCAUGUCUGUUGGUGGAUCUGUGCUUGUUUGAGCUUCAUCUGGGGUUCUGAUACCCUGUGGACUGUGGUGAAUGUCCUGCCACUUGGCUUCCCUCAACUGAUUUGCCCUUCCUCUUAGGAAGUAAUGGUCAAUACGAGGCCGAAGAAUAACAGUAUGGCCUGUAGUUUAUAGUAUAGCAUGUUGGCAAAAAAAACCCCAUAGAUUAUUAUGUGGUUCAAAAAGUGGAAAAUGAUAGGAUGUUGCCAAAAAUUGUCAGGUAUGAUAUGUGGUUCAAAAAUGUCAUAGUGCAGUAUAUUGUCAAAAUAGUAUGUCAUUCAAGAAAACAUCAGAGUAUUAUAUGUGGUCUAAAAAUGCUAUAGAAUAAUAUUUCAUUGCACAAGUAAAAGUAUAGUAUGUUUUUUUUAAAAAAACUGUUCAAAUUCUUAUAUGUUUCUAAAAAACAACAGUAAAAAAAACUAAAACAAAAAAAGUCACAGUAACAUGUCAAUUAAAAAGCCUAUAGUAUAACGUGUCAUCCAACAAACGUCAUAGUAUGGCCUUUGGUCCAGAAAACAUCUUUAAACUGCCAGUUCUCUAAAACUGUUUCAUUUACAGACAGAAAUGAUCGUCCAAAAACAUCAGAGUUUAGUCUUUGGUCCACAAAACGUUCUGUCCCGCUGUCUGAAGUUGGUGAGGAGGAACACAAAAACAGUCCAAACGCUGGUUUCCAGAGGGUUAGACGAGUAUUUAUUUGAAAGAGUAAGUUUACAACAACACAACAUGUGAGGUGGUUAAAAGCAAAUGGGUGUUAGUAAAAUAAAAAUACAUAAACAGAACUAAAAGUGAACUUCAUGUUGACAUUGACGGGCAUUCCAACCAGGAACAAAGUUAAAGAUCAUCAAUACAAAGAUCAUCAAAGAUCAUCUUCCUGUUCACCUCUUAAAACCCCAAAACACACUGCAGUAGCACCCUAAACUAAAACUACUAAUGGGUUCCUGUUUUCCUUUCUGAACAACUCAAAGGUCCCUCUCUAUCUCCAACCACUGGAACACAUCUCCAAAGUUCUGCUGAAGCUCAGCUUCCCCUCAGAAGAAGUGCUGCCAGAUGAAGGAGCAUUUUGAGAGGCAGCUGGCAUCAUGAUUGCACGGUACUUUGAUCUGAUCCAAUCCAGCUUCAGCUCCAGAGACGGCAGGCGGUACGAGUCAACGGAGGCCGAGUGGAUGAAGGCAUGCAGCUGAGUACAAUCCAGAAAACAACAGAGGAGGAGAGCAGAGGCCCGGGGCCAGAACAAACAGAGUAUUAUGGUAUGUCUCUGAGAAAACAUCAUAGUUAGCCUUUGGGAUGAAAGAACACCAUCAUAUACAUCGUAUAUUGUACAAAUAAGUCAGAGGAAAGAGACAUCCAUUGUAGAAUUGUAGUAAUUGUGGGCUGACUGAUUUACUGAUUAUUAGUAUUUUAUUUUUUACUGAUUUACGGUAAUGAAUACAUUUAAAAAUGGUGCUACUUUGGCUCUGAAUCUUUAUCUAGCUGUGGUCGCUCUGUCUUCUGGAGUGAUUUGAUUGGUUAUACGUCAGUAAUAAAACUCCUUUAACUUAACAUCUGUAAACAAAACAAAAACGUAUCAACAAAGUUUUCUGUUAGAGUUUGUGUUCUUCUAAGUUUAACUCCAAGAUUGUAAAUAUUUUCAUUUACUGCAAAUGAAUAUCUCCUCCAAAUGUCUCACUAAUAAUCAUCGGAUUCAGAUGUGUAGCUCUGUCAUUAAAUAGGAAAUUAUUUCUCAGAAUUCACAGAGAAAAGUCUGAAAUGUUUGCUAGGUUAGCGUCCCACAUGUUCUUUGGCUCAGCUAAAGCUAACUCUCUCCAACUUCUGGAUCUCUGGAGUUGCUUGUUGUUAAAAUAUCUUGCUAGAGGUGCUGAAGCUCAGAAAGUCUGAGAUGUUUGUUCAGAAUCGGCUCAUUCUCAAGCCUGAUCUGAACUGUCCUCUUUAGCUUGAACUUUCCCUAAACUUAGGAGUCAAUGACAGAGCAGCACAUCCAGACUCAGUCUCAUUUAUGUAGAGAUUAAACUUCAGCGUCGUUCAUUGAUGUUAAAGUGUAGUUUUUUCACGUUUGUUGCACAUGUUCCCGACCAAACCAGUCCAGGUGGGAGACGAUGUGAAGAGAAGCUCCAGAGGAUGAAUAUCACACAUUUACAUUGGAAAUAAAUGUCCUUUAAUUAGACAUUGUCACGCAAAAGUUGGAUUUCCCUUUAAUGAUGUUCAAAUCUUUGAGUGUUUUGUUGAUGUUGGUUUCUAAAUGUUUUCUGACACUCGGCCCCAAAGAUUAAGACCUUUUACGGCUCACAAGCUGCAACAAUUCACACGUGAUCAACUAUCUUUCUGACUAAACUAAGAUUAAAAAGUGAAAAACU